GGCACCCUAUUCCCUAUUUAGUGCUUACAUUUUGACCUGGGCUGAGCGUCCCAAACAGCAUCCUAUAGAGGGCUUGCAAGUACGUCACAAAUCACCUAGCAACCCCCAUGUUGGAAGACCAAACUCAAGUCUGAUGAAAGUCCUCCAAUCAUCCACAUGGCUGGCUGCGUUUUGCUACCACCGGAAACUUUUGGAAGAUUUCCCAUUAUUCCGUUUUUUUCUAAAGACCAAGAAAACAGAGUCAGUGGGAGAACCUAUUCAAAUCCUCAGAGAGCUGUGAAACCCUGUCUGCAGAUGAAGAGGUCCUAAUUAAUGUCUCAAGAGAAUAUACCAUGGAUUAUAUAUUAGCACAUUUUUGUGAAGAAAAAUAGUUUAAAAGUCAUACAAUGUAUAAACGCAUUACAACUGGAGCAGGCCAACCGUGCUGGGUGUGCAGGGUUCUGUUCCAGCCCUGCACUAACACACCUGAUUCAAUGUAUCAAACCUAAUGAAUUAAUAAUCAGGUGUGCUAAAGCUGGACAGGAACAGAAGUCUGCUCCCCCAGUAGAUCAGGGAUCAGUGGAUAAUGAGUUAAUAAGUGUACUAAAGCUGGACUGGAACAGAAGUCUGCUCCCCCAGUAGAUCAGGGAUCAGUGGAUAAUGAGUUAAUAAGUGUACUAAAGCUAGACUAGAACAGAAGUCUGCUCCCCCAGUAGAUCAGGGAUCAGUGGAUAAUGAGUUAAUAAGUGUACUAAAGCUGGACUGGAACAGAAGUAGAUCAGGGAUCAGUGGAGUGAUGUUGGACACCUCUGGUAUUGACAUUUUUUUUGUUCACCUGAAAUUGUUUUAAUAAUAGCAUACGCAUUACUAAAAUGUCUAACCUUUACAUUGGAGUUACUUGUACACUUUGACAUUAUAUGAAAGUGUUGAUUUUUGCAGUUAAGUGUUAACGUAACUAUUAUUCAAGAUGAACUAGUGUUGAUGUUGAUUAAUCACAGAUCACAAUCCUGUAAUAAAGAGGAAUGUGUCUG